rnacentral:lncRNA from 14 species
CUUGAGGCUGGGCUGAGAGCACAGGCUGGAGCAGACCUUUCCAGUUACAAAUGUUCCUUGUCUUGUUGACCAGAGUGCAGGAGGUGCAGCGCCGCUGAGCUCGGUAUUACAUCUCUUUAUUUCAUACCUGCCGCAGCAGCAGGAGACGAGAGGCAGCCACCAACAGCUCGGAAAGUGCUGCUUCCUCAGUGCAAACUGCAGGUGAUUAUCUCUCAACCCCUCGGUAUGAACCACACGCUGAGCCAGGAGUGACAGAGCUGGGAGAUGAGAUUUGUGGUCAGAAAUGGGAAACACUCUGUCUGCAGCAAGCACGAGCACACUUGCUCACACUGGGAGAGGGAGAAAGCAUCAACCUAGGCAAGGUUUGUUAGGGUCCUUGAAGAGGAUCUGUUCAGCCUGGGCAAGGAUCCAAGGAAGAUUUUUCUUGUUCUUUUGUGUGGAUCAGGCAUUGUCCUGUGUGAAAGCUUCAGGUCGGAAAAGGAAAAACAAACGUCUCCAGAAAGGGAAUUGGAUCUGUGGGUCCAGGGUUUGUCAUUCCAUGGGAUCUCUUAGAUAACAGCCUGAGAACGAUGGGUCGGUGAGUCUGGGCUGGUACCACACAGGGGUUUCAUCUCAGGGAAAGCAUUCAGGGCUCCAGCACCAGAAAGUGAUUUUAUUCAGUACUGAGCCAGGAAGAACUGAAAGGUAACUGAGGAGGAUGCUUCUGAGGUCAGAUCAAACCCCACACCCUCCCACCAGUACACAGCAGGGUCCUUCCUCCAGCACAGGCUUUGCUGGUGCGCUCCCACCAGUAAAGCCCCAUGGUGGCUGGUACUAGCAAAGGGAACUCCUGUGUCAGGGAGUGCAGUCACCUCUCCUGUGCUGGGGUGAUGAGGCUGUGUCUGUGUGGAGGAUGUGUUUUCCUUGCGGACAUCUCUCUUCACCAGACUUAGACUGGCAAAACGUCUGCAGUGUGGUAUAGACCUCCCCAGGCUCCUGUAUAAAUACAGUGCAGACAGUGAUUCAUGUGAGCAGUGUUAGCAAUGACCUGUUUCUCAGGUUGGGAGAGAUGAACUUCACCCUGAAGGUGACUUGAAAGUUAUUCUGAGCCCUCUCCAUACCUCAGUGCUUGCCAUGAAGCAUGGUGCAGUGUACAGCAGGAAGAAGGCAACAAGGGAG